AUGGCGGAAACGAUUGCCCACCCCCUUCAGUCCGCAUUCUUGAAGGGCCGGCGGAUCCAUGACGGGAUUCUUGCCCUUCACGAGAUUGUCCAUGAGGUGGCGUCGAAGGGGCUUAAGGGGAUCUUCCUCAAACUGGAUUUCCAGAAGGCUUAUGACCGUCUGGACUGGUCCUUUUUGAGGUUGGUGAUGUAG
rnacentral:rRNA from 1 species